rnacentral:rRNA from 1 species
CCUACGGGAGGCAGCAGUGGGGAAUAUUGCACAAUGGGGGAAACCCUGAUGCAGCGACGCCGCGUGAGUGAAGAAGUAAUUCGUUAUGUAAAGCUCUAUCAGCAGGGAAGAAAAUGACGGUGCCUGAGUAAGAAGUCCCGGCUAACUACGUGCCAGCAGCCGCGGUAAUACGUAGGGGGCAAGCGUUAUCCGGAUUUACUGGGUGGAAAGGGAGCGUAGACGGCAGUGCAAGUCUGGAUUGAAAGGCGGGGGCUCAACCCCCGGACUGCUCUGGAAACUGUACGGCUGGAGUGCAGGAGAGGUAAGUGGAAUUCCUAGUGUAGCGGUGAAAUGCGUAGAUAUUAGGAGGAACACCAGUGGCGAAGGCGGCUUACUGGACUGUAACUGACGUUGAGGCUCGAAAGCGUGGGGAGCAAACAGGAUUAGAUACCCGGGUAGUC